GAAGAGGAUUUCUAAGCCCAAAUUAGACGUUUAACCGACUUACUAAGGAGAAAAUAAUGCUGCAAGACUGGAAUGAAAAUUGGAAAACAUACCAGAAAGUUUUGGUAUUUAUCUCCUCUAGAGAUAGCAAAGUGGCAACAGUCAGAACAGAAGAAAAAGGAAAUAAGAGGGUUCCCAUGUAAAAAACACCAGAACGCUUUCUAAAAUAAACACAGAGUCUGGCCACACACUGGACAUUCUGGGACUUCUUCCAGAAAACUGAAGCACUAAACAAAG